rnacentral:rRNA from 1 species
UACGGAGGGUGCAAGCGUUAAUCGGAAUUACUGGGCGUAAAGCGCACGCAGGCGGUCUGUUAAGUCAGAUGUGAAAUCCCCGGGCUUAACCUGGGAACUGCAUUUGAAACUGGCAGGCUUGAGUCUUGUAGAGGGGGGUAGAAUUCCAGGUGUAGCGGUGAAAUGCGUAGAGAUCUGGAGGAAUACCGGUGGCGAAGGCGGCCCCCUGGACAAAGACUGACGCUCAGGUGCGAAAGCGUGGGGAGCGAACAGG